CAGACACUUAUUAAAGGGGUAGUGCUGGUAAAUGAUGUGUUUGUUUCAGAGACCUACUAGGUCCAUUGCAGAGAGAGGGGUUUCAUGUGACCAUGUUACUUUGCCCUGGAGUGAUGGAAGUUCCAGACAUCAACAUGGAUUUUGUACCUGGACCCACAUUUUGGCAAAUACCAAGACUGGCUACAUUCCCUGUCCUAUGGGACCCAAGCAGCUCUCAGCUGACACUAUGAUGGAUGGAGCAGCAGAGGCCCAUACGUCAACUCUCAGGAAAGAAAAACCAGUAAAUCAGAGGAGCAUAUCCAGAGAGAGUCAGAGGAAAGGCUGCAUCAGGAGGUAGUUUGCAAAGCCACAUCUAGGGAGGUCAGGAAAGAAGCAGGGACAGCAGACAGCUCAGCAGACAG
rnacentral:lncRNA from 1 species